rnacentral:tRNA from 1 species
GCCUUCGUGGUGUAAUGGUCAGCACGCUCGGCGCGUAUUCGAGAGGUCCGUGGUUCGAGUCCCGUCGAGGGCA